UCGCUGAACUUAAGCAUAUCAAUAAGCGGAGGAAAAGAAACUAACAAGGAUUCCCCUAGUAACGGCGAGUGAAGCGGGAAGAGCUCAAAUUUAAAAUCUGGCGUCUCCGACGUCCGAGUUGUAAUCUGUAGAGGCGUUAUCCGCGGCGGACCUCGUACAAGUCCUUUGGGAUGAGGCGUCAUAGAGGGUGAGAAUCCCGUCCGUGACGAGGACUACCGUUGCUUUGCGUUGCGCCCUCGAAGAGUCGAGUUGUUUGGGAAUGCAGCUCAAAACGGGAGGUAAAUUCCUUCUAAAGCUAAAUAUUGGCGAGAGACCGAUAGCGAACAAGUACCGUGAGGGAAAGAUGAAAAGAACUUUGGAAAGAGAGUUAAACAGUACGUGAAAUUGCUGAAAGGGAAACGCUUGAAGUCAGUCGUCUCGGCGUGGACUCAGCCUUCGGGUGCACUUCCACUGUCGAGGGGCCAGCAUCAGUUUUGGGCGCCGAAGAAGGGCGCGGGGAAUGUGGCACCUUCGGGUGUGUUAUAGCCCCGCGUCGGGACGCGGGGCCUGGGACUGAGGACCGCUAUUUUAAUAGGAUGCUGGCGU
rnacentral:rRNA from 1 species